rnacentral:rRNA from 1 species
UGGCGACUGGCGAACGGGUGCGUAACGCGUAUGCAACCUACCCUCAACUGGAGAAUAGCCCAGAGAAAUUUGGAUUAAUACCUCAUAGUAUCAUUUGAAGGCAUCUGAGAAUGAUUAAAGAUUUAUCGGUAUAAGAUGGGCAUGCGUAAGAUUAGUUAGUUGGUGAGGUAACGGCUCACCAAGACUUCGAUCUUUAGGGGUUCUGAGAGGAUGAUCCCCCACACUGGUACUGAGAUACGGACCAGACUUC